GACGAACGCUGGCGGCGUGGAUUAGGCAUGCAAGUCGGACGGUAGGGCUUUAUCGUAAGAUAGAGUUUGAGAGUGGCGAACGGGUGAGUAACACGUAGGAAUCUACCCUUAAGACGGGGGACAACCCAGGGAAACUUGGGCUAAUACCGGAUGAGAGUGCGAGAGAUUGCAUUUAAAAAGGAUGGCGAAAAGUUGUCGCUUAGGGAUGAGCCUGCGGUCUAUUAGUUAGUUGGUGAGGUAAGAGCUCACCAAGGCGAUGAUAGAUAGGCGGCCUUAACGGGUGGUCGCCCACACUGGGAUUGAGAUACGGCCCAGACUCCUACGGGAGGCAGCAGUCGAGAAUAGUCUACAAUGGCCGGAAGGCUGAUAGUGCGACGCCGCGUGAACGAGGGAGCCCUUCGGGGUGUAAAGCACUUUUUGGAAGGAAUAGGAAGGAAUGUACUUCCAGAAUAAGUCUCGGCUAACUACGUGCCAGCAGCCGCGGUAAAGUCACGUCG
rnacentral:rRNA from 1 species